UAAUUAGUGCUAAAUAAAUAG
rnacentral:piRNA from 1 species